GUUUAUUCUAUGUAUCUACUGUAUCUCUGAGCUGCAGGUGUGUGUUUAUUCUAUGUAUCUACUGUAUCUCUGAGCUGCAGAUGUGUGGUUAUUCUAUGUAUCUACUGUAUCUCUGAACUGCAGGUGUGUGUUUAUUCUAUGUAGCUAUCUACUGUAUCUCUGAGCUGCAGAUGUGUGUUUAUUCUAUGUAGCUAUCUACUGUAUCUCUGAGCUGCAGGUGUGUGUUUAUUCUAUGUAGCUAUCUACUGUAUCUCUGAGCUGCAGAUGUGUGUUUAUUCUAUGUAUCUACUGUAUCUCUGAGCUGCAGGUGUGUGUUUAUUCUAUGUAUCUACUGUAUCUCUGAGCUGCAGAUGUGUGUUUAUUCUAUGUAUCUAUCUACUGUAUCUCUGAGCUGCAGAUGUGUGUUUAUUCUAUGUAUCUACUGUAUCUCUGAGCUGCAGAUGUGUGUUUAUUCUAUGUAUCUACUGUAUCUCUGAGCUGCAGAUGUGUGUUUAUUCUAUGUAUCUACUGUAUCUCUGAGCUGCAGAUGUGUGUUUAUUCUAUGUAUCUACUGUAUCUCUGAGCUGCAGAUGUGUGGUUAUUCUAUGUAUCUACUGUAUCUCUGAACUGCAGGUGUGUGUUUAUUCUAUGUAUCUACUGUAUCUCUGAGCUGCAGAUGUGUGGUUAUUCUAUGUAUCUACUGUAUCUCUGAGCUGCAGAUGUGUGUUUAUUCUAUGUAUCUACUGUAUCUCUGAGCUGCAGAUGUCUUUAUUCUAUGUAUCUACUGUAUCUCUGAACUGCAGGUGUGUGUUUAUUCUAUGUAUCUACUGUAUCUCUGAGCUGCAGAUGUGUGUUUAUUCUAUGUAUCUACUGUAUCUCUGAGCUGCAGAUGUGUGUUUAUUCUAUGUAUCUACUGUAUCUCUGAGCUGCAGAUGUGUGUUUAUUCUAUGUAUCUACUGUAUCUCUGAACUGCAGAUGUCUUUAUUCUAUGUAUCUAUCUACUGUAUCUCUGAGCUGCAGAUGUCUUUAUUCUAUGUAUCUAUCUACUGUAUCUCUGAGCUGCAGAUGUGUGUUUAUUCUAUGUAUCUACUGUAUCUCUGAGCUGCAGAUGUGUGUUUAUUCUAUGUAUCUACUGUAUCUCUGAGCUGCAGAUGUGUGUUUAUUCUAUGUAUCUACUGUAUCUCUGAGCUGCAGAUGUGUGUUUAUUCUAUGUAUCUACUGUAUCUCUGAGCUGCAGAUGUGUGGUUAUUCUAUGUAUCUACUGUAUCUCUGAGCUGCAGAUGUGUCUUUAUUCUAUGUAUCUACUGUAUCUCUGAGCUGCAGAUGUGUGUUUAUUCUAUGUAUCUACUGUAUCUCUGAGCUGCAGAUGUGUGUUUAUUCUAUCUAUCUACUGUAUCUCUGAGCUGCAGGUGUGUGUUUAUUCUAUGUAUCUACUGUAUCUCUGAGCUGCAGAUGUGUGGUUAUUCUAUGUAUCUACUGUAUCUCUGAGCUGCAGAUGUGUGUUUAUUCUAUGUAUCUACUGUAUCUCUGAGCUGCAGGUGUGUGUUUAUUCUGUGUAUCUACUGUAUCUCUGAGCUGCAGAUGUGUCUUUAUUCUAUGUAUCUACUGUAUCUCUGAGCUGCAGAUGUGUGUUUAUUCUAUGUAUCUACUGUAUCUCUGAGCUGCAGGUGUGUGUUUAUUCUAUGUAUCUACUGUAUCUCUGAGCUGCAGAUGUGUCUUUAUUCUAUGUAUCUACUGUAUCUCUGAGCUGCAGAUGUGUGGUUAUUCUAUGUAUCUACUGUAUCUGAGCUGCAGGUGUGUGGUUAUUCUAUGUAUCUACUGUAUCUCUGAGCUGCAGAUGUGUGGUUAUUCUAUGUAUCUA
rnacentral:lncRNA from 1 species